rnacentral:rRNA from 1 species
GACGAACGCUGGCGGCGUGCCUAACACAUGCAAGUCGAGCGGGGACAGUUGGAAGCUUGCUUUUGACUGUUUUAGCGGCGGACGGGUGAGUAACGCGUGAGCAACCUUUCCCAGACAGGGGAAUAACACACCGAAAGGUGUACUAAUACCGCAUAAGACCACGGGAUCACAUGGUUCUGAGGUAAAGAUUUAUCGGUUUGGGGUGGGCUCGCGUCCGAUUAGGUAGUUGGUGAGGUAACGGCCCACCAAGCCGACGAUCGGUAGCCGACCUGAGAGGGUGAUCGGCCACAUUGGGACUGAGACACGGCCCAAACUCCUACGGGAGGCAGCAGUGGGGAAUAUUGGGCAAUGGGGGGGAACCCUGACCCAGCAACGCCGCGUGGAGGAAGAAGGUUUUCGGAUCGUAAACUCCUGUCCUUGGAGACGAGUAGAAGACGGUAUCCAAGGAGGAAGCCCCGGCUAACUACGUGCCAGCAGCCGCG